rnacentral:lncRNA from 7 species
AUCCCAAAGGAGAUAAUGCUUCAAAGGAUGAAAGUCUUUAAUUGUUAACAAUUGUGUUUGUUUGUUCUUGUUGUAUAGCAAUCGAGAACAAGGACCAACACUAAGGUUGAUCCCUAUUACCUUUGGUGACCCAAGCCUAUGUUUGAGACUCAUCAAGGCAUACUAGAGACUUCCCUAUAUGUAGCUUUGAACCUUACUCUAUUACUCACUUAAUGUGCUUAUUUACUUUAUGGAUUCUUCUCACUAGAAUAUAUUUUCUUGUUAAUAUUAUCAAACUACUCUAUUAUAUAUGUAGUGUGUCGGUGUUUAGAGUAUGACCGCACACCCAGGGUUAUCCCUUGCGGUGCUUUUGGGUAGGACGGUGAGCUCAAUGGUUCGUGCUAGAUGCACGAGAGAAGGACAUGCAAUUUUCUAUAGGUUCGGGCCGCUUAGAGAGGCGUAAUACCCUACUUCCUGGUGUGGAUCUUUAUAUGGUGGGUUACAGGUGAAGUCUCCUAUAUGGAGGAAAGCUAAUGAGAUAGGUAGAUUGUCGAUGGAAAUGAUGGGGUACCCCCUGGGCCUUAUAUACUCGACCGUGGGGCACUCCAUGUGUACAUGAGGAUCACACGUCUCCUAAAUAAUAGUGUACCGACUGAACUGAUCUUCCUACAAUCUUGUCAACUUAUCCCUAGUCCUCCCCGACAUUCAAGGAUGCCAUGCGCGAGAAAGUCGGGUGGUUCCUGUGGAUAGCGCACAAGUUGACGGGUUGCCUGGGCCUGAGUCUGCUGCCUUCUCAGGUCGGCCCAUCCCACUAGUAGUUCUAGCCCGACCCACGAAGGAAGGCCUUGCGAGGUAACUGGCUCGAGGCCCCACACGAGGCCUUCUAGCCUUCUAGUGGACCCAGGGAUAUCUGUCCCCCACAUAGUGUGACAAUUAGUGGUGGUGUUGAGGUAGUGGAUCAGUUAAACUUGUGAACACAAGGUUGUUAUGUGCCCUUGUGGUUCAAGUUUAUGAUGAGUGAUUGUCAAUGGAUUAGCGUCUUAGGUUGAGUCGUAUGGAGUAACCGAAGUGUGAGUUUGAGCAACAUGUCUCCUAGCUUGUGGUGUGCAUAUAUGGAGUCUAGAGGCGAUGGUUGAUGGCAAAGAUGAAGGCAUGCAUGCUUGUGUUAAUGGCUAGGAGUAGUGAAGGACAUACACUCUGACUUGACUAUUGUAAAGCCCAAAAUCUGUAUAAGAGAAAAUAAUAGGAUAAAUAAAUAAAUAUACUUAUAUGCUAGUGUUUUGGGGAUUUCUUGAUCUUCUUUGUACAUAUUCAAUUAAUGGAAUUGAAGUAGUCAAAAUAACAAAUAAAUAAAUACAGAAAUGUGCAUUCCAUGUUGGGUUCUUGUAUUUUUUUCAUUUGUAUUCAAAUUGUGAGACAAGUUUAGGUUUGAAAAUUAGAAUUUGAAAAUGG